GGCGAACGGGUGAGUAACACGUGAGCAAUCUGCCCUUGACUCUGGGAUAACUGCGGGAAACUGUAGCUAAUACCGGAUAUUUUCCUCGGUGGGCAUCCACUGGGGAAGAAAGAAUUUCGGUCAAGGAUGAGCUCGCGACCUAUCAGCUAGUUGGUGAGGUAAUGGCUCACCAAGGCGACGACGGGUAGCCGGCCUGAGAGGGUGACCGGCCACACUGGGACUGAGACACGGCCCAGACUCCUACGGGAGGCAGCAGUGGGGAAUAUUGCACAAUGGGCGAAAGCCUGAUGCAGCAACGCCGCGUGAGGGACGAAGGCCUUCGGGUUGUAAACCUCUUUUAGCAGGGAAGAAGCGAAAGUGACGGUACCUGCAGAAAAAGCACCGGCUAACUACGUGCCAGCAGCCGCGGUAAUACGUAGGGUGCAAGCGUUGUCCGGAAUUAUUGGGCGUAAAGAGCUCGUAGGCGGUUUGUCACGUCUGCUGUGAAAUUUCGAGGCUCAACCUCGAACUUGCAGUGGGUACGGGCAGGCUAGAGUGCGGUAGGGGAGAUGGGAAUUCCUGGUGUAGCGGUGGAAUGCGCAGAUAUCAGGAGGAACACCAAUGGCGAAGGCACAUCUCUGGGCCGUAACUGACGCUGAGGAGCGAAAGCAUGGGGAGCAAACAGGAUUAGAUACCCUGGUAGUCCAUGCCGU
rnacentral:rRNA from 1 species